AAAUCUGGUUGAUCCUGCCAGAGGCGACCGCUUUUGGAGUUCGAUUAAGCCAUGCGAGUCGAGAGCCUUUGGGGCUCGGCAUACUGCUCAGUAACACGUGGAUAACCUGCCCUAUUGUCUGGAAUAACCUCGGGAAACUGAGAACAAGGCCGGAUAACCCACAAUGCCUGGAACGGUUUGUGGGUGAAGAUAGGAUGGGUCUGCGGCGUAUCAGGUCGUAGGGGGUGUAAUGGACCUCCUAGCCAUCGACGCGUACGGGUGUUGGGAGACAUAGCCCGGAGAUGGAUUCUGAGACACGAAUCCAGACCCUACGGGGUGCAGCAGGCGCG
rnacentral:rRNA from 1 species